rnacentral:lncRNA from 1 species
CAUCUUCCUUUGAACCCUCUGCAUCGUCCUCCUUCUCAGGAUAUUCCUUUGAGUACUCUGCAUCUUCCUCCUUGACAAGAUCUUCCUUCGACUCCUCUGCAUCUUUCUCCAUCACAGCAUCUUCCUCCUUGACAAGAUCUUCCUUCGACUCCUCUACAUUUUUCUCCAUCACAGCAUCUUCCUUUGAACCCUCUGCAUCUUCCUCCUUUGCGGGAUAUUCCUCUGACUCUGCAUCUUUCCCAAUUACAACAUCUUCCUUUGACUCCUCUACAUUUUUCUCCUUUAUAGCCUCUUCUUUUGACUCCACUAUAUCUUCCUCCUUGACAAUAUCUUCCUUUAAGUCCUGUGCAUCUUUCUCCAUUGUAGCAUCUUCCUUUAGGUCCUGUAGACCUUUCUCCUUGACAGGAUCUUCCUUUGAGACCUCAGCAUCUUCAUCCUUGACAAUAUCUUCCUUCAAGUCCUCUGUAUCUUUCUCCUUCGCAGCAUCUUCCUUUAGGUCCUGUAGACCUUCCUCCUUGACAGGAUCUUCCUUUGAGUCCUCUGCAUCUUCCUCCUUGUCAUGAACUUCCUUUGAGUUCUCCGUCUCUUCCUCCUUGAUAGAUUUCUUUGAUUCCUGUGCAUCUUCAACCU